UGAAGCCCAGCUUGCUGGGUGGAUUAGUGGCGAACGGGUGAGUAACACGUGAGCAACCUGCCCCUGACUCUGGGAUAACAGCCGGAAACGGUUGCUAAUACCGGAUAUGCAUCAUGGCCGCAUGGUCUGUGGUGGGAAAGAUUUUUCGGUUGGGGAUGGGCUCGCGGCCUAUCAGCUUGUUGGUGAGGUAGUGGCUCACCAAGGCGUCGACGGGUAGCCGGCCUGAGAGGGUGACCGGCCACACUGGGACUGAGACACGGCCCAGACUCCUACGGGAGGCAGCAGUGGGGAAUAUUGCACAAUGGGCGGAAGCCUGAUGCAGCAACGCCGCGUGAGGGAUGACGGCCUUCGGGUUGUAAACCUCUUUUAGCAGGGAAGAAGCGAAAGUGACGGUACCUGCAGAAAAAGCGCCGGCUAACUACGUGCCAGCAGCCGCGGUAAUACGUAGGGCGCAAGCGUUAUCCGGAAUUAUUGGGCGUAAAGAGCUCGUAGGCGGUUUGUCGCGUCUGCUGUGAAAACCCGAGGCUCAACCUCGGGCCUGCAGUGGGUACGGGCAGACUAGAGUGCGGUAGGGGAGAUUGGAAUUCCUGGUGUAGCGGUGGAAUGCGCAGAUAUCAGGAGGAACACCGAUGGCGAAGGCAGAUCUCUGGGCCGUUACUGACGCUGAGGAGCGAAAGGGUGGGGAGCAAACAGGCUUAGAUACCCUGGUAGUCCACCCCGUAAACGUUGGGAACUAGUUGUGGGGGCCUUUCCACGGUCUCCGUGACGCAGCUAACGCAUUAAGUUCCCCGCCUGGGGAGUACGGCCGCAAGGCUAAAA
rnacentral:rRNA from 1 species